rnacentral:rRNA from 1 species
GACGAACGCUGGCGGUGUGCUUAACACAUGCAAGUCGAACGGAAAGGCCCUGCUUUUGUGGGGUGCUCGAGUGGCGAACGGGUGAGUAACACGUGAGUAACCUGCCCUUGACUUUGGGAUAACUUCAGGAAACUGGGGCUAAUACCGGAUAGGAGCUCCUGCUGCAUGGUUGGGGUUGGAAAGUUUCGGCGGUUGGGGAUGGACUCGCGGCUUAUCAGCUUGUUGGUGGGGUAGUGGCUUACCAAGGCUUUGACGGGUAGCCGGCCUGAGAGGGUGACCGGCCACAUUGGGACUGAGAUACGGCCCAGACUCCUAAGGGAGGAAGCAGUGGGGAAUAUUGCACAAUGGGCGGAAGCCUGAUGCAGCAACGCCGCGUGCGGGAUGACGGCCUUCGGGUUGUAAACCGCUUUCGCCUGUGACGAAGAGUGAGUGACGGUAAUGGGUAAAGAAGCACCGGCUAACUACGUG